GACAGAGGGUGCUAGCGUUGUUCGGAUUCAUUGGGCGUAAAGGGUGCGUAGGCGGCGCGGUAAGUCGGGUGUGAAAUCUUGGAGCUUAACUCCGAAACUGCAUUCGAUACUGCCGUGCUUGAGGACUGGAGAGGAGACUGGAAUUUACGGUGUAGCGGUGAAAUGCGUAGAUAUCGUAAGGAAGACCAGUGGCGAAGGCGGGUCUCUGGACAGUUCCUGACGCUGAGGCACGAAGGCCAGGGGAGCAAACGGG
rnacentral:rRNA from 1 species